rnacentral:lncRNA from 1 species
CCCUUCAGUGAUUCUCUGAGCUAUGUGGACUAUGCAGGUUCUCUCCCCCUCCAACCUUCUCCCACAGAAACUAGAAAUAGAAUGAAUAAAGUAGACAACAGAAAGCCAUUGAAUAUUACUGAGCAGUGAAGAACAUCUCAAAGAAGCUUAACCUGGCAGUUCUAUGGAGCAGGGAUUAGAGGAAGGAGAGAAGAAAGUGGGAAGAUGUUACAA